ACAAAAACAAAACCCUCUUUCCUCUUUCUCUCAUUCGAAUGAACCCAAAGGAAAAAUCAGACAUUCAUCUUCUUCCUCUUGAACCAACUGCAUCAAACUCCACCAUCACAGUUUCGAAUAAAGACCAAACCCAGUCCACUCCUUCUUUCGAUCUUUGUCUGAAAUUAGGGGUGAAAGCACUUCCUUCUCCUGAUAUUCGAAAUUUAGGGCAAUACUAAACUACCACCAUCUUCUACCUUGAGUUCUCACAAGAUCCAUGGCAGGUCUUCCUCUUGCCGCCAUUUUCAGAUGAACCGAAGCUUUUAUGGAGGCCUUGUUCUUCUUAUCGAUUGAUGGUGUAAAGAGUAAGAAUCAAGCCAUAGCCUUCAAUUGAUUUGAUUUUCGAGCAGCAUCAAUGGUGAAAUCCUCAUUUCUUGUGCCUCUGAAUUCUGUCGCAAACAGAGGAAGCCAACACCAACCUUGUUUCUAUUGAUUUUGCAUCAAAAAUCAGAACAACCUUACCUCCAGUUGCUCCUGAUUUCUGCCGAAAACAGAGACGAUUUCUCUGCGGAAGCAUUCUAGCUGAUAUCUGCGAAUUGAACCCAACUCUUUGAAGCGUUGUCUUUGACUAUUUACAGAUCAGAACUGGUCGGAAACGAUGAGUUAGCGGUGUUGAUUAGAGUUACUUGGAUGUUAAAAUGAGCUGAGUACGUGAGAAAUUGUAGUAUUGUAUUCGGUUUUUGACAAAUGUAUAUUGGACUGGAUUGUAUUGGUUAUGUUGGACUUUUAUAGGGACUUUUAUGAUUACUUUAUGUUUUAGUUAGAUGUUUGGUUUGAGAAUUAGCUGAUACAGGCAUACUGCUAUGUCAUAGAACUGGUGAUCCCUUUACACAAGUUUUGGAAUUUAGAUUUAAGUUUUUGGGAAACAAA